ACUGCUGAAUCACAGCCUGAACCUCUGAUUGAUCACCUGAGGCGAGCACUGAGUCAGCCAUGGGGGCACAGGUGAAGGCAAUUCACCUGUGCUGCUGAAAGGGGUAAAGCCUGGCUGCACCUCUCCUAGACCCAUUUAAGAGCUGGCUACCAGGGAGAAGGAUGUCCUUCUGGAGUUUCCUUCUUUGGAGUUUUACAGCAAGCUUGGGACAAAGAAACCUGAUGGCUGUGCUUCGAGGCAUACCCAGGCACUGGGAAUGGAUGGCACCAGGGGCAGCCUCGGGCUGGCCACACUCCCUGGAGACACCUGGGAAGUCAGCACCACUUUCCAUUCUCCCAAAUUUAUUUCCUUAUUCAUCAGAAGUCUAAUCUUCUUCCGCUUUCAUAAGAUUUCUUUUUCCUUAAAACACUUUACGGGUACUUAGGGGGGGAGGAGAAGAAAGGGGAAGGGGAAAAAGAAAAACAGUUGCAUCAAGGUGAGCUUGCAGUGACAGCUGUCUUUUAUUCCUUCUAUUUUUCCUAGCAUAGACCUUCUGAGGAUGCUUGUCAAGAACGAACCUCCUCCCCCCUGACUCUUCGUUUCUCUUUCAGAGCGACUUCUGAUCUCAGAAAUGUAUUUUGUAUGUUUGAUGGAUGAAGCGAUCAAUUUAUUUUUUGACUGAGCGUUUUUGGUUAGGAAUAAAUUGUCGGCGGUCCUUUUUCCCUGUCCGGCUGUGUUAUUUGUUUUCUUUUCUCCUCCCCCAAGGUAAAUCCAGAGCGUCGUAAUGGGAUCUACAUAUACAACGACCUUCAUUAGCCAAAUUGGAAGGAACGUGUUCUCUGUUUUAAACAGCGCCGAUGAACACCCUUUCCUCUGGAGCAGAAGGGGGAUCUGAGGCGGGAUGCAGCCACCUCCAUACCCCUGCACUGCUCGGGCACGGCGUGCCCUUUAGCAUACGGCCCCGCGGGACGGCUUGCAGCGGCUGAUCCGCUCGGAGGGGUGCGGGAUCCGUGCCCCCAGCCGAGAGAUGCCCUCGUUGCCUCGUGAGCGGGCAGAGCUUGCUGAGCGAGCGCUCGCCGUCCACGCUCCCGGGUUGCCUGUCCCAGAGGACGCCAAUUAAAGGCACUAAUUGGACAGCAAUACAUCAAAGUCCGCCGCUGAGAUCGGCUUCUCUGAGCUCCGGGGGUCCUGUGGGCAGGCUUUUGUUGUAGAGAACAGCGAUGCCCCGGAUUCCGGUGUAGGUACACGGCCACGCUUGCAUCCACCCGCCCCAAAUCCCUAUGACUUCCCCGGGGGUGGAUGCCGCCCCCCGGCCCCGCUCCCUUUGGGGCAAGAUGCGGGAAAACCUCACCCCGGGGCCGGCUCCGCACGCACCCUUCCUGGAAAGAGAGGCGCGGGGCCGGAGCGGUCCUUCUCACAGCCCGGACACCGCCCGGUGCUGCCUUCCCUGUGCAUUGGCAGCGGGUGUCCAUCUGAGCUCCCGGCUUUGGGCAACAGCCUGGGUCUUCAUUCCGAACGGUUUUAGAGUUUCAGGCUCGUCUGUAUCUGUAAGUCUUCAAAAGGGCAGAAUGAAAAAAUGACAGAAUACUCGAUGCGGAGCUGACGGCAGGGAUGGAGUUGGGCGGUUGUCCCCUUUCCACCCCCCCCUGCAGCUCCCUUCCUCCCUCCGAGGAUGCGCCGGGAGCGAGGAGGAGGCUCAUCAUUUACUGCCCACGGAGGCAUUUGUUUUUCAUUUUGCAAACGCUUCCCUCUAAGUAAUUGUUCCUGUUAAGAGCGUGUACCUUUCACCGGGCUCCGCCGCACUAUAAAUAAUCCCGAUGAAGAUGCAAGGAUAUGACUUUCACAAGAUUGGACAAUUGAUUAAAACUGUGACCUGCAAUUGCGAAUAAUCUUGGAAGGCUAUUUAAACAGAUGAAGGCCUAAAUUGUCUUGCUUGUAUCUGAAUUAAUUUCUCAUUCAUCAUCAUUAUGGAGUGAUUGGUUCUAUUCAGGCUCUGCAGCCUGCUGGAACGAAACUGGAUUUAAAUGAGACUGUAACACAAUUUAAAUGCUCUCCGGCUUUAACGAGGCCAAUCGAGCAGCUGCAAUAAAUACAAAUAUUUUUCUAAACAGCCUUGUUUUAAAUAAUUACUUAA